UUGCUAAAAUAUUUCAAUAAUUGGGAAUGAAAUUGGCUAAGAAGAUGUAAAACAGAAUUAGGUGAUAAUUUAUACUUUAUACUUAACAAAACAGGCAAAACAGACCGGGUCAAUUUUUACCAUGGUUGACGAUAACACAAGAGUUAA